rnacentral:misc_RNA from 1 species
UUUUAUCCCAAUCUUGGAUGGUCUGAAUUGAGGCACAAAUGUAUGGUGUAUUGACAAACUGAAUAGGGUCAAAACAGAAAGAGGUAAGAUUUGAAGGCAAAGACAAAGAAUUGAGCUUGGAUUGGAAUUCUUGGAUGCAAGAAGCAGAAGUUUCCAAAUUGGGUAGCUGGAAAAGAGAAGUUUCUUUAAGGUGUUGUGCCAUAGCAACACCAAAGAGGGACAAAAGGUUCUGGCAGCACUGGCCUUUGCUUGAUGUGGGAAUAGCAGAACCAUUGGAAAGCUGAGGAGUUGAAUUCAGAACUUUGCAGUUAGAACUAG